rnacentral:rRNA from 1 species
UACGGAGGAUGCAAGCGUUAUCCGGAUUUAUUGGGUUUAAAGGGUGCGCAGGCGGACUAAUAAGUCAGUGGUGAAAUUUACAUGCUUAACAUGUGACGUGCCAUUGAUACUGUUAGACUAGUAUACAAAUGACGUAGCUGGAAUGUGUUAUGUAGCGGUGAAAUGCAUAGAUAUAACACAGAACACCGAUCGUGAAGACAGGUUACGAAUUUGUGAUAGACGCUCAUGCACGAAAGCGUGGGGAUCAAACAGGAUUAGAUACC